rnacentral:rRNA from 1 species
UCGCCUGUUUAUCAAAAACAUAGUUUUAUGAUAUUUAUAUAAAAUAACUUCUGCCCAGUGUCUAAAAAGAUAAAUGGCCGCAGUACCUUGACUGUGCUAAGGUAGCAUAAUCAAUUGGCUUUUAAUUGAAGUCUAGAAUGAAUGGGAAAAUGGAAUUUAGCUGUCUUAAUUUUUUUAAUUAAAAUUUAUUUAUAAGGUGAAAAUACCUUAAAAUUAAAUAAAGACGAGAAGACCCUAUGAAUUUUUAAAUGUAUUUUUGUUGGGGCGACAGUUUAAAAAAUAAUCUUAAAUUUAUAAUAUAUAACGAAUUUUUUAAUAAAAAUUAAAUUACCUUAGGGAUAACAGCAUUAUUAUUAAAAUAGUUUGUGACCUCGAUGUUGGACUAGGAACUAAAAGGCUAACCGUCUUUAUAGAUUUGUUCUGUUCGAACAAUUUAAUCCUACGUGAUCUGAGUUCAGACCGGA